rfam:Paenibacillus sp. 11 genome assembly, contig: Ga0139009_102
AGGUCAUGUCUACUGUACCUCUAUCAUGGUAGACACUCGGCUGCACUGUGGGCGUGAAGACGCCUUAGACGUGAAUCGUCAAUGGUGCGGCGUGAGGCAGGGUUAGAUGCCCU